UACGAAGGGGGCUAGCGUUGCUCGGAAUCACUGGGCGUAAAGCGCACGUAGGCGGCUUCUUAAGUCAGGGGUGAAAUCCUGGAGCUCAACUCCAGAACUGCCUUUGAUACUGAGAAGCUUGAGUCCGGGAGAGGUGAGCGGAACUGCGAGUGUAGAGGUGAAAUUCGUAGAUAUUCGCAAGAACACCAGUGGCGAAGGCGGCUCACUGGCCCGGUACUGACGCUGAGGUGCGAAAGCGUGGGGAGCAAACAGG
rnacentral:rRNA from 1 species